CUUCAACUACCAUUAUUCUCCCAGUAGCUUUCAGGACAUAGCUCUGUCUCAAUUCCUUAGUUCCAGCCGCGGGAUGCUCCAGUGGACUUGAAUGGCUCAUUAGUGCCUCAAACCCAACAGGACACCUCCACUUGUUCUGUACAUACUCUCUACAUAUUCCUCAUCUUGACUACACCCUUGGAGGAAAACAUGGAUCAUAGAAACAGCUGAAACCACAUGUCACACCCGAGUGAGGAAACAGCUGCAGGCCUAGGGUGGAGGCUACACCGGGAGGAACAUCCAGCUUAGGUUGCAGUGUGCUGGUUUCAUCCUAACGAGAGGAAACAUGAGACCUGAAUUUCCACGAGGGGAGACUCAGUGAAGCUAGAAUGCAGGCCCCAAAAAUGGUGGACCAGGGGAACCAACAAGCAAGUCAAACGAAGACAGGCUGUCACAGUGUGGGCUGUGAGGACAGCAAAGCCAAUGCCAGGGUGAACAUGUAACGCUUUUCCCGAGGCCUUAAGUCUAUCCUCUGUUGAGGGGAGACCCAUCAUAACCGAAGAAGACCACUCUAAUUUCAAUGAAAGAAAGUGCUGUAUUCCCUGCCACAUAACACAGGUAUGAAAUGAUCCCCUGAGGUGGUAACAAUUUGAAAAUAAGUUUAAGAAAAUUUUUGAUGAAUGAUUCUAGGCUAAUAAGGGGAAGUUACAGGCCGAAGUUUUCAGCCUUGAAGUUGUUGUCAAUGAGGAGAGACUUUCCCUCCCUUAAAGUUUCCAUGUACUAAGCUUACAUUUGGACCUGGAUAUCUUCCUCCAAUGGCAGUGGAAAAACUGGAUAUCCAUUUGCAAAAUAAGAAAAAUUGGAUCCUUAUCUUACACAACAGACAAAAGCCAACUCCAAAAGGCUUACAGAUUUAAACAUAGGACUUGAAACUGUAAAACGACUAGAAGAAAACAUACGGGAAAAGCUUCAUGAAACUGAUCUUGGCAAUGGUGUUUUGGCCGUGACACCAAAAACACAGGCCACAAAAGCACAAAUAGACAAGUGAGAGUAGAUCAAACAAAAGGUCUUGAUGGAAACAAUUAAAGUGAAAAAGCAACCUGUAGAAAGGAGAAAAUAUUAGCAAACCAUAGAUCCGACAAGGAGUUAAUAUCCAAAAUAUAUAAAGAUCUCAACUCAUUACGGAGAAAACAAAUACGCUGAUUAAAAGAUGAGCAAAAGAAGUGAAGAGACACU
rnacentral:lncRNA from 1 species